UACGAGUGCCUCAAGCGUUAUCCGGAAUCAUUGGGCGUAAAGGGUUUGUAGGUGGUCAUGUUAGUCUUUCGUUAAAUUUCCCGGCUUAACCGGGAACAUGCGGAGGAAACGGCAUGACUUGAGGAUGCAAGGGGUCUGCGGAACUCAUAGUGUAGCGGUGAAAUGCGUUGAUAUUAUGGGGAACACCAAAAGCGAAGGCAGCAGACUGGGGCACUCCUGACACUGAAAAACGAAAGCGUGGGUAGCGAAUGGG
rnacentral:rRNA from 1 species